AUAUAUCAACCUCUUCAGCUUUUGCUUGUUGAGUGUUGGAUGUGGGGGGUCUUUUGUUGGUCUUUUAAAAGAGAUCAGCUCCCCUAAAAUGUAUUAGCAGAACAAUUUGUUGACCGCUCAUUAGUGUGAUAAUUAUCUACGCUAUUGAUCUAAGGCAGUUCAGCUUCUAACAGUCCAUUGACUUGGACAAUUUUUCAUUA
rnacentral:misc_RNA from 1 species